GACAGAGGGUGCAAACGUUGUUCGGAAUUACUGGGCGUAAAGCGCGUGUAGGCGGUUCGGAAAGUCGGAUGUGAAAGCCCUGGGCUUAACCUAGGAAGUGCAUUCGAAACUUCUGAGCUUGAGUUCUGGAGAGGAAGGCGGAAUUCUCGGUGUAGAGGUGAAAUUCGUAGAUAUCGAGAGGAACACCGGUGGCGAAGGCGGCCUUCUGGACAGUGACUGACGCUGAGACGCGAAAGCGUGGGGAGCAAACAGG
rnacentral:rRNA from 1 species